CAUGCCAACGUAAAGCCCUGCUGCAGCACAGGGGACCACAGCUGUGGCACACACCAACUGCAGAGCUGGGCUCUUCUCUGGCACCAGGAAAAAACAGGAAGGGUGGCACUGAAACUGCUGGGCAUAUCCAGACAUAAAACCAGUGAGCCUUCACAUCUUCAUCCUGGGGAGUUGACUAGCUGAGGGAAAAAUAAAGCUUUAUAAUGCUGCCCACAUCAUACUAAUUGAGUGCCUACAAGGAUUGAAGUGAACAGGAUGACCAAUAUCUAUCAAUCAUGCAACUGUUCUCCCCUCUCCAUGGAAGGGACUGCACUGUACAUGCAGUACAAGACCUUGUUUCGCACCUAACGCAACGCAGGGGGCUCCUCGGCAGCAUCAAGCAACUACGGCAGUGCUGGUGCCUGGAGAUGUCCGUCUGUCUACGAAAGAAACUCGUCUCCCUUCGUGCCUCCAUCCUUGUUCCUGGAUUGGACUAGCAACCUGUUUCAGUUUGUGCUUUCCAUUUAGGCUAACCUCAGACGCUUGGUUUCCAGUUGAUUGGAAACAAGUGUGCUGGAAGCUGUCUGCUCUUUCUUCACUAUACAAUGUGGACUGCUGCCUGGCUCCAAUCUGGAAACAAUUAUUUCCCUCCUGUACCUACCCAUUCUGAAAAGGGAUUUACCCCUAGACUUUUUUUCCUCUUUGCACUUUUAUUAGCCGCUUCCUUCACAAAUAAAAGCUUGUCGUUGUACAUAAUGCCC